CCGAGUGUGCACGGCAGCUGCAGCCCCAGUUCACACUGGAGUCUUUGGACACUAUUUGAGGAGUUAUUUAUAACCACGUCUGCUAGACUUGGUCUAGGUCAGACAAGAGAGUGUCGAAGACCAAGGGAACCUGUAAGGCUCGGCUGCUACUGUGGGAAAACUGGAAAGAUUGAAUGUCCUUUGGAGUUCACAAAGGUUUGGCAGUGGGAUGAGAAAAACAAAACGAAGCAUAGUGGGAGUGUUGAACAGACUUUCCCAAGAUUCCCAGAGUUCUUUAUGCAUUCCAGAUAUGAAUCUUCUGCUGGCUGUGUAAUUUUUUUGACGAAUGCUUUUUUGAUUUGACUAAAGUCAAAUACAUGAACCUGUCACACCAGCCUCUUAUCACUCUGAAGAACUUUUUCUCCUCCAAAGUGUAUAGACACAUUUGCUGUCUGUAGGGAAACUGCUCUGCUCUGGUGCCAUGGUGCUCUUGCACAAAUCCAUGUAGGAACACCUUAUGAUCUCUGCAACAAGAGAGGAUGGGAGGCUUCUAAUGAGCUGCCUCAAAAGUCUGUGGCAGAGUACGGUGACUCACACCUGUAAUCCUAGCACUUUGGGAAGCCAAGAUGAAUGGAUCACUUGAGCCCAGUAGUUUGACAUCAGCCUAGGCAACCGGGCUAAACCUCAUCUCUACAAAAAUUAACUGGGUGUGGUGGCAUGCAACUGUGGUCCAGCUACUCAGGAAGCUGAACUGGGAGUAUCUCCUGAGUUUCAAGACGUAGAGUCUGCAGUGAACCUUGGUUGUGCCACUGAAUUCCAGCCUGAGCUACAGAAUGAGACCCUUUCUCCCUCCACUCUCCCACCCCUGCCCAAAAGCUCCUUGCAUUCGUCUCCCUGUCUACCUUGGGAGGCAUCAUAAGUCAGUUUCUUAUUGCCUCUCAGAUUUCUGCUUCUCUCCAUAAGGGGCCAGCUUCAGACCUUACAACUGUUCAGCUAAAGUCUAGGUUAUGUUCCUGAGCCUCAGCAUGUCCCGCAAGUCACACUGGACUGCUUUCGAUAUUAUCAUUUUUGGUACAUAGGACAAGGACUGCCGGGAGCUGGCCCCCUUUAGCAUUGAUGUAAGUAAU
rnacentral:lncRNA from 13 species